AUGGCCAUUGCCCCCUCCUCCGCCCCCCUCCCCCUAUCGAUGGUGUGGUCCGUCCGCGUUCCCCUGAAGAUUCGCAUCUUCAUGUGGCAGUGGAUUCGCGGUCGGGUCCCGUCUGGAGUGGAGGUCUGCAAGCGCAAUGGCCCGGGCACUGCUAUCUGCCGGCUCUGUGGUGUCCCUGAAGACUCGAACCACAUUUUCUUCGCUUGCGUCUCCGCCCAGUUCCUCUGGAGCUGCUUUCGCGAGGUUGUCGGUGGAAGUUGGUGCCACACCAAUUUUCUGGACUUAUUUGCUGAACUCCAGAUGUCUCCCGCGUCCUCUCGCCAUAUUAGGUGGCUUGAGGUUGGGGUUCUUGCCUGGACUCUUUGGACCGUUCGCAAUAAGCUUGUGAUCCAGCGUACCCCCCUCCGUCGCGCUACUAACGCUCUCUACAAACUCUCGGGUUUCUUGUAG
rnacentral:rRNA from 1 species